AUUGAACGCUGGCGGAAUGCUUUACACAUGCAAGUCGAACGGCAGCACGGGGGCAGCCCUGGUGGCGAGUGGCGAACGGGUGAGUAAUACAUCGGAACGUGCCCGGUCGUGGGGGAUAACGUAGCGAAAGUUACGCUAAUACCGCAUACGAUCUGAGGAUGAAAGCGGGGGACCUUCGGGCCUCGCGCGAUCGGAGCGGCCGAUGUCAGAUUAGAUAGUUGGUGGGGUAAAGGCCUACCAAGCCGACGAUCUGUAGCUGGUCUGAGAGGACGACCAGCCACACUGGGACUGAGACACGGCCCAGACUCCUACGGGAGGCAGCAGUGGGGAAUUUUGGACAAUGGGCGCAAGCCUGAUCCAGCCAUUCCGCGUGCAGGACGAAGGCCUUCGGGUUGUAAACUGCUUUUGUACGGAACGAAAAGGCUCUGGCUAAUACCUGGGGCUCAUGACGGUACCGUAAGAAUAAGCACCGGCUAACUACGUG
rnacentral:rRNA from 1 species